rnacentral:misc_RNA from 1 species
UUGAUUCAUUUGUUUAUGAUUCCACUCAGACAUGCCAUUAAAAAAAUCACACAAGAGUUUGGAUCCCCCGGCGGGCGCCUGGUUCCGGUGGCCCCUUUCAGGGCCGUCCGGGGCGUUAACCCGCCGAGGCAACAGUAAAGGUAUAAGUUCACAGGGGUUUGGGAGUUGGUAAGACUCGGUAAUGAUCCCUCCGCUGGUUCACCAACGGAGA